UACGGGGGGUGCGAGCGUUGUCCGGAAUCACUGGGCGUAAAGGGCGCGUAGGCGGCGCGGAUAGUCGGCGGUGAAAGCCCGGAGCUCAACUCCGGGUCGGCCGUCGAUACUUCCGGGCUUGAGCACUGUAGAGGCAGAUGGAAUUCCGGGUGUAGCGGUGGAAUGCGUAGAGAUCCGGAAGAACACCGGUGGCGAAGGCGGUCUGCUGGGCAGUUGCUGACGCUGAUGCGCGACAGCGUGGGGAGCAAACAGG
rnacentral:rRNA from 1 species